rnacentral:misc_RNA from 1 species
UCCCCGUUACCGAGGCAGUCUAAAUAGAAAAAUUCAACUAUUUACAAGGGUUGCGCUCGUUGAUGGACUUAACCAAACAUCUCACGACACGAGCUGACGACGGCCAUGCAUCACCUGUCACUACGGCCCGAAGGCACACUCUCCUUUCGGAGAACUUAGUAGGAUGUCAAACCUGGGUAAGGUUCUUCGCUUACCAUCGAAUUAAACAACACGCUCCACCGCUUGUGCGGGUCCCCGUCAAUUCCUUUAUGUUUUAAGCUUGCGCUCGUACUCCACAGGCGGGAUGCUUAACGCGUUAGCUUCGCCACGCAUCGGGUCGAUACGUUGCACGGCUAGCAUCCAUCGUUUACGGCGUGGACUAC